rnacentral:rRNA from 1 species
CAGCAGCCACGGUAAUACGAAGGGUGCAAGCGUUACUCGGAAUUACUGGGCGUAAAGCGUGUGUAGGUGGCUGUUUAAGUCUGUCGUGAAAGCCCUGGGCUCAACCUGGGAAUGGCAGUGGAUACUGGCUCGCUAGAGUGUGUCAGAGGAUGGUGGAAUUCCCGGUGUAGCGGUGAAAUGCGUAGAGAUCGGGAGGAACAUCAGUGGCGAAGGCGGCCAUCUGGGACAACACUGACGCUGAGGCACGAAAGCGUGGGGAGCAAACAGGAUUAGAUACCCCAGUAGUCCCUGUCUCUUAUAA